rnacentral:rRNA from 1 species
UACAGAGGUCCCAAGCGUUGUUCGGAUUCACUGGGCGUAAAGGGUGCGUAGGCGGUCGGGUAAGUCUGACGUGAAAUCUUCAAGCUCAACUUGGAAACUGCGUCGGAUACUGGAUGGCUUGAAUUCGGGAGAGGGAUGCAGAAUUCCAGGUGUAGCGGUGAAAUGCGUAGAUAUCUGGAGGAAUACCGGUGGCGAAGGCGGCAUCCUGGACCGACAUUGACGCUGAACGGCGAAAGCUAGGGGAGCAAACGGG